rnacentral:rRNA from 1 species
GAUGAACGCUGGCGGCGUGCCUAAUACAUGCAAGUCGAGCGAACAGAUGAGGAGCUUGCUCCUCUGACGUUAGCGGCGGACGGGUGAGUAACACGUGGAUAACCUACCUAUAAGACUGGGAUAACUUCGGGAAACCGGAGCUAAUACCGGAUAAUAUAUUGAACCGCAUGGUUCAAUAGUGAAAGACGGUUUUGCUGUCACUUAUAGAUGGAUCCGCGCCGCAUUAGCUAGUUGGUAAGGUAACGGCUUACCAAGGCAACGAUGCGUAGCCGACCUGAGAGGGUGAUCGGCCACACUGGAACUGAGACACGGUCCAGACUCCUACGGGCGGCAGCAGUAGGGAAUCGUCCGAAAUGGGCGAAAGCCUGACGGAGCAACGCCGCGUGAGUGAUGAAGGUCUUCGGAUCGUAAAACUCUGUUAUUAGGGAAGAACAAAUGUGUAAGUAACUAUGCACGUCUUGACGGUACCUAAUCAGAAAGCCACGGCUAACUACGUG